CCGACCUUAGCUCAGUUGGUAGAGCGGAGAAUUGUAGAUCCUUAGGUCGCUGGUUCGAAUCCGGCAGGUCGGA
rnacentral:ncRNA from 15 species